GACGAACGCUGGCGGCGUGCCUAAUACAUGCAAGUAGAACGCACAGUUUAUACCGUAGCUUGCUACACCAUAGACUGUGAGUUGCGAACGGGUGAGUAACGCGUAGGUAACCUGCCUGGUAGCGGGGGAUAACUAUUGGAAACGAUAGCUAAUACCGCAUAAUAUUAAUUAUUGCAUGAUAAUUAAUUGAAAGGUGCAAUUGCACCACUACCAGAUGGACCUGCGUUGUAUUAGCUAGUAGGUGAGGUAACGGCUCACCUAGGCGACGAUACAUAGCCGACCUGAGAGGAUGGGCGGCCACACUGGGACUGAGACACGGCCCAGACUCCUACGGGAGGCAGCAGUAGGGAAUCUUCGGCAAUGGACGAAAGUCUGACCGAGCAACGCCGCGUGAGUGAAGAAGGUUUUCGGAUCGUAAAGCUCUGUUGUAAGGGAAGAACGGGUGUGAGAGUGGAAAGUUCACACUGUGACGGUAUCUUACCAGAAAGGGACGGCUAACUACGUG
rnacentral:rRNA from 1 species